rnacentral:rRNA from 1 species
CACGCCGUAAACGAUGUCGACUUGGAGGUUGUGCCCUUGAGGCGUGGCUUCCGGAGCUAACGCGUUAAGUCGACCGCCUGGGGAGUACGGCCGCAAGGUUAAAACUCAAAUGAAUUGACGGGGGCCCGCACAAGCGGUGGAGCAUGUGGUUUAAUUCGAUGCAACGCGAAGAACCUUACCUACUCUUGACAUCCAGAGAACUUAGCAGAGAUGCUUUGGUGCCUUCGGGAACUCUGAGACAGGUGC